AUUGAACGCUGGCGGCAUGCUUUACACAUGCAAGUCGAACGGCAGCGCGGGCUUCGUCCUGGCCGCGAGUGGCGAACGGGUGAGUAAUGCAUCGGAACGUGCCCAGUAGUGGGGGAUAGCCCGGCGAAAGCCGGAUUAAUACCGCAUACGACCUGAUGUUGAAAGCGGGGGACCGAAAGGCCUCGCGCUAUUUGAGCGGCCGAUGUCGGAUUAGCUAGUUGGUGAGGUAAAGGCUUACCAAGGCGACGAUCCGUAGCUGGUCUGAGAGGACGACCAGCCACACUGGGACUGAGACACGGCCCAGACUCCUACGGGAGGCAGCAGUGGGGAAUUUUGGACAAUGGGGGCAACCCUGAUCCAGCCAUGCCGCGUGCGGGAAGAAGGCCUUCGGGUUGUAAAGCGCUUUUGUUCGGGAAGAAAUCCUCUGGGCUAAUACACCGGGGGGAUGACGGUACCGGAAGAAUAAGCACCGGCUAACUACGUG
rnacentral:rRNA from 1 species